UGCUUGCUGGUAAGGCGCUAGAGUGUCGGACUCAAGAUCGGAAGUUCGGGGGUUCGAUUCCCCCC
rnacentral:tRNA from 1 species